rfam:Eubacterium sp. CAG:156 genomic scaffold, scf123
AAUAGGAGGAAACAAAAUGAACCAAGUUCAUUUUAUGUAAAUGUUUCCGACGAAUAGCCAUCGACCGAAGGGCGGGGGCAAUACAUAUU